rnacentral:rRNA from 1 species
UACGGAGGGUGCAAACGUUGCUCGGAAUCAUUGGGCGUAAAGCGCGUGUAGGCGGCCAGCUAAGUCGAGUGUGAAAGCCCCGGGCUUAACCUGGGAAGUGCGCUCGAAACUGAUUGGCUAGAGUACGGGAGAGGGUAGUGGAAUUCCCGGUGUAGAGGUGAAAUUCGUAGAUAUCGGGAGGAACACCAGUGGCGAAGGCGGCUACCUGGACCGAUACUGACGCUGAGACGCGAAAGCGUGGGUAGCAAACAGG